GCUAAAGUAGUUUAACGGUAAAACGCCCGACUCAUAGCAGGGAGAAUUAAGUUCGACUCUUUUCUUUGGCU